CCAGACUUGGGAAGAAAAUGAUACCUUAGGAACCAGAGUAGGGAUCUAGAAGGAAACUGAGACCUCGGUGCGACCAUCACGCUGCUGGAUCCACCAAUCAAGGAGGCUUUGUUGUCUCUGGCUGUCAGCUCUGACUUCCGAGAUUUCCAUUAGCAAUAGCCUUUACUACACAAAACGAGACCAACAAACAUGUGCACCUGAACACAUCAGCAGUCGCCGAGACAUGUUACUGUGGCCUGGCCAAGAGAAGCCCCCGUGCAAACCACCACCAAUCCCCAACAUGGAAACAGGGCCCAGGAAAGGACUUGAGAUGGGGAAACUAAAGGGACCCCACAAAAAACUUCUUUUCCUGCUCCUCUUUUUCCCAGGACCUACACCGGUGCCUUACAGAGCCUUACAGAAGAGAUAAUGUAUGUCCUCCUUGUCAAGGUCAAGGAGUUAAUGAUUUCUUUUCAGUCUUCCAGCAUAACAGAUAACAUCGAAGGAGUGACUGGGUGGGGUCAUCAUGAACAUUUUCCAAGAUGAGUGGCUGACUCAUCAAGACCCCUGGCUCCAGGGUAUAAGUGAAUUAUGGAAAACACCUCAACAGUUUAUUCCUGGAUGCCUAGGAAGACUCAUGUACCAGACCCCCAUCCUCAAUAACGACCCCAAGUUCCAAGCAAAGACGAGAUUCAUUCUUCUUUCCUUUCUGAGUCUCCCAGACACUGUGUCCAUAUCAAUCAUGCUGCCUCUACUAUGUUUAUGAACUAAUGUACAGAAUACAAAACAUAUUACAAGGUGGUGGGAAAUAAACCAUUACUCCAAAU